UGACGCUGGCGGCAGGCCUAACACAUGCAAGUCGAACGGUAGCACAGAGAGCUUGCUCUCGGGUGACGAGUGGCGGACGGGUGAGUAAUGUCUGGGAAACUGCCUGAUGGAGGGGGAUAACUACUGGAAACGGUAGCUAAUACCGCAUAACGUCGCAAGACCAAAGAGGGGGACCUUCGGGCCUCUUGCCAUCAGAUGUGCCCAGAUGGGAUUAGCUAGUAGGUGGGGUAACGGCUCACCUAGGCGACGAUCCCUAGCUGGUCUGAGAGGAUGACCAGCCACACUGGAACUGAGACACGGUCCAGACUCCUACGGGAGGCAGCAGUGGGGAAUAUUGCACAAUGGGCGCAAGCCUGAUGCAGCCAUGCCGCGUGUAUGAAGAAGGCCUUCGGGUUGUAAAGUACUUUCAGCGGGGAGGAAGGUGUUGUGGUUAAUAACCACAGCAAUUGACGUUACCCGCAGAAGAAGCACCGGCUAACUCCGUGCCAGCAGCCGCGGUAAUACGGAGGGUGCAAGCGUUAAUCGGAAUUACUGGGCGUAAAGCGCACGCAGGCGGUCUGUCAAGUCGGAUGUGAAAUCCCCGGGCUCAACCUGGGAACUGCAUUCGAAACUGGCAGGCUGGAGUCUUGUAGAGGGGGGUAGAAUUCCAGGUGUAGCGGUGAAAUGCGUAGAGAUCUGGAGGAAUACCGGUGGCGAAGGCGGCCCCCUGGACAAAGACUGACGCUCAGGUGCGAAAGCGUGGGGAGCAACAGGAUUAGAUACCCUGGUAGUCCACGCCGUAAACGAUGUCGAUUUGGAGGUUGUGCCCUUGAGGCGUGGCUUCCGGAGCUAACGCGUUAAAUCGACCGCCUGGGGAGUACGGCCGCAAGGUUAAAACUCAAAUGAAUUGACGGGGGCCCGCACAAGCGGUGGAGCAUGUGGUUUAAUUCGAUGCAACGCGAAGAACCUUACCUGGUCU
rnacentral:rRNA from 1 species